UAGGGCUUAUUUCAUUAGAAUAAUACAUUUUCCUUAUUCUUUAAGACUCUUGGAAGAAGGAUGUUCUUUGUGUUGGUAAGAAUGCAAGUGUGGAUUAAAUAUAAAAUGUUAGUCAUCAUUCCAGUAACUGUAGAGGUAUGGAUUACAUUAAAUCCCACUCAUAAGGCAAUUAGAACUGCCCUGGCUGGAUUUUGAGCACUUGGGGUAAGUAUUCCUAGGUGUGGGAAGUAAAGUCUCAGGAAGAGGUCUCUGGCCAUGCGUUUGACUUUUGUAGGUAAAUGUCAGGGGUGAAGCGGGCAGAGCACCUUCAGGGAAAUCAAAAUGAGAGAAUGGCAAGAUCCCAUUCACUCUUUGGGAUCUGACACGAAGCCAGAAGGAAAACCAUUUAACCUCGUGGACAGACAAAGUCCAGGGAAGAUAUAAUUUGUCAGGCUUAGGACAGUUGUUUGUGGAGGUGGACCACAGGUGUGGCCAUGACGUCACAAAGAAGGGUGAGGCCUAGGUGGACAUGAGAUCUGGGGCUCUUCAGGGGGCUGCUCCCUCCAAACCUAAAUAAUGAUUGCUGGUGACUGAGACUUCACAAUUAUUUUCUGCCAUCUUGGAAAACAUACAAAGACCCUCUGAAAGGUGGCAGAACUGAGAUGCUAACUAGUUACAGGUCCAGAGCAGGAGGAGAAUCUGGCCUGUGAUUAGAUCUGAGGUGACCUUUCUGGAGUGGAAGUUAAGGAUAAGCUGAGAGAGCACAAGCUGUGUGGGGAAGGAAGAAAGCUGCCUGUGAUCAGUGAGGACGCUAUGCCACAGCAGCAUGUAACUAGCAUCCAGGAGAGUGAGCUUCUUUCUACUGCCAUGCUCUUUGGCCAUGAUAUUUCUGGAUUGGAGUGAACUGAAUUGGACUGAAAGCUGAGAAAACCAUGAGCCAUAAUAAACCUUCCCUCCUUUAACUUGGAACAAAACAACAGAAGAUUAAAUCAAGAAGAGAAAAUGAUGCAGUCAGUAGUUGGAAUAAACACAAGAUGUGUGAAUGCAGGAAGCUGCUGCUGGCACAACAUGGCAUUUUGUCUCACGGAUGUAGCAGGUGUGUACUCUGAAGUGACAAUAAAAG